AUCGCUUCUCGGCUUCUUGGCUCAGAUCAUGUGUAGUUUCUGUUCUUAUCAGUUUAAUAUCUGAUAGUCUCCCAUUGGGGGACCGUAUAUUAAAUUGAUUUUUAGAACGAGGAGAUGCGUUAAGGGCUUGCUCUGCGUUCUCCACGCAUCAUCCUGGUAUUGCAGCAUGUCCAGGUGUGGUGCACCCCAC